rnacentral:rRNA from 1 species
UACAGAGGUCCCGAGCGUUGUUCGGAUUCACUGGGCGUAAAGGGUGCGUAGGUGGCAUGGCCAGUUUGAUGUGAAAGCUCAGGGCUUAACCCUGAAAUGGCAUUGAAUACUGCUGUGCUGGAGGUUUGGAGAGGGGACUGGAAUUCUUGGUGUAGCAGUGAAAUGCGUAGAUAUCAAGAGGAACACCAGUGGCGAAGGCGAGUCCCUGGACAACACCUGACACUGAGGCACGAAAGCUAGGGGAGCAAACAGG